ACAUUUUCUUAACAUCUUAAAGUGGAGAAGACUUUGUUUAGGAAAAUAUGGGCAGCAACUUUACGCCUUUCUCGAACUUUUCUUUUGUACCAACGAAAUAUUGAACACUUUUGGCUAGGAGUUCAUUCUUUUAUUUGGGAAAUAUUCAUACUUUGAUCUUGGGAAUAAGCACUUUGGUAUAAGGAAGAGUUCGCAGCAACGUUCUCACUUUGAGGAUAAUUCUUUAUUCAAGUUUGAUUCUUCAUCCACGACUUUCGAGCUCGUAUGAGCAAUUAAGAUUAAACUUCUCUGGGUGGCAUAAAGAAGUCCAAUUCAACAAGGUGUGAUGGAUCUUGACUUGGCUCUGCUGAAUGAUAAGCUCGCUGCCAUUACUGAUUCGAGUAGUGCGGAUGAGAAGUCUUUCCGUAAAGCAUGGGAAUGCUUUAACAAGCAACUGCCAAUAACAUUAAGAGUACUAUUCCACAAACAGAAAGUGUCAGGGGAUACUUGAUGGUUGUGAAAGAACGUUUUCAUUCUGGAAAUAGACUCUCGCUGGUACAUA